rnacentral:snRNA from 1 species
ACACUUACCUGGCAGGGGAGACACCAUGAUCAGGAAAGUGGUUUUCCCAGGGCAAGGCUCAUCCAUUGCCUGCGGGUGUGCUGACCCCUGUGAUUUCCCCAAAUGCAGAAAACUCGACUGCAUAAUUUGUGGUAGUGAGAGACUGCGUUCGAGCUCCUCCCC